UUGUGGAGGAGGACGCCGAAGGUGGGGCUAAUGACUGGGGUGAAGUCGUAACAAGGUAGCCGUACCGGAAGGUGCGGCUGGAUCACCUCCUAACAGGGAGACAACAAAAUGUUUUAAAUUACUAUUUUGUCACCUUAGGUCGAUCGGAAUCUCACAUUCUUAAUUUAUAUAAGAAUUUCAUUUCCUAAGUUUUUCUAGGUCACACCCAUUAUUUUUCCUGGGCCAUUAGCUCAGGUGGUUAGAGCGCACCCCUGAUAAGGGUGAGGUCCCUGGUUCAAGUCCAGGAUGGCCCAUAUCUCUAUGUUGGGGGUAUAGCUCAGUUGGUAGAGCGCCUGCUUUGCAAGCAGGAUGUCAGCGGUUCGAGUCCGCUUACCUCCACUGAUUACCACCUCUUCCAUAAUCUGUAGAAAGGAAAUUUUUUGAGUUGUGAUCAAAUCCUGAACGAAUCUAGCUUCCUAAUGAAAUCAUUAAGAUGCUGGACUCAUUGAAUUAAAUUCAUUGUUUUCAGAGAACCUUGACAACUGCAUAGAUUAUUUUAAAGACAAUAAGCAUCUUUAAUGAUGCAGAUUUAUUAUUUGUGCGAAUGCAUUAAUAACAAUUCUAUUAAGCUGAUGCUUCAAUUUUGAAGUUAUUGGUCAAGCUACAA
rnacentral:misc_RNA from 1 species